rnacentral:rRNA from 1 species
AUUGAACGCUGGCGGAAUGCUUUACACAUGCAAGUCGAACGGUAGAGGGGGCAACCCCUUGAGAGUGGCGAACGGGUGAGUAAUAUAUCGGAACGUGCCCAGUCGUGGGGGAUAACGUAGCGAAAGUUACGCUAAUACCGCAUACGAUCUAAGGAUGAAAGCGGGGGAUCGCAAGACCUCGCGCGAUUGGAGCGGCCGAUAUCAGAUUAGGUAGUUGGUGGGGUAAAGGCUCACCAAGCCAACGAUCUGUAGCUGGUCUGAGAGGACGACCAGCCACACUGGAACUGAGACACGGCCCAGACUCCUACGGGAGGCAGCAGUGGGGAAUUUUGGACAAUGGGCGCAAGCCUGAUCCAGCAAUGCCGCGUGCAGGAAGAAGGCCUGGUGUAAGCUCUUUCGCAAGGAAGAACAGCAGCUCUAACACAGUCUGCGAAUGACGGUACCUGAAGAAUAAG